CCUACGGGUGGCAGCAGUGGGGAAUAUUGGACAAUGGGGGGAACCCUGAUCCAGCGACGCCGCGUGAGUGAAGAAGUAUUUCGGUAUGUAAAGCUCUAUCAUCAGGGAAGAAAGAAAUGACGGUACCUGACUAAGAAGCCCCGGCUAACUACGUGCCAGCAGCCGCGGUAAUACGGAGGGGGCAAUCGUUAUUCGGAUUUACUGGGGGUAAAGGGAGCGUAGACGGCGAUGCAAGUCUGAAGUGAAAGGCGGGGGCCCAACCCCCGGACUGCUUUGGAAACUGUAUGGCUGGAGUGUAGGAGAGGUAGGUGGAAUUCCUGGUGUAGCGGUGAAAUGCGUAGAGAUCAGGAGGAACACCAGUGGCGAAGGCGGCUUACUGGACUGUAACUGACGUUGAGGCUCGAAAGCGUGGGGAGCAAACAGGAUUAGAUACCCCUGUAGUC
rnacentral:rRNA from 1 species